rnacentral:rRNA from 1 species
UACGUAGGGUGCAAGCGUUGUCCGGAAUUAUUGGGCGUAAAGAGCUCGUAGGCGGUCUGUCACGUCGGCUGUGAAAUCCCGAGGCUCAACCUCGGGUCUGCAGUCGAUACGGGCAAACUAGAGUGUUGCAGGGGAGACUGGAAUUCCUGGUGUAGCGGUGAAAUGCGCAGAUAUCAGGAGGAACACCGGUGGCGAAGGCGGGUCUCUGGGCAACAACUGACGCUGAGGAGCGAAAGCGUGGGGAGCGAACAGG